rnacentral:lncRNA from 1 species
CUGCCAGACAUUGGACACUGCUGCAGGCAGCCUCUUGGGCUGCCUUUGAAGAAGGCAAGCUUGCCAGAGCUUAACCACAGGCCAGCAAAGAUAUUCAAACCUGUGUCAAAGAAAUAAGCCUAAAAGUUCUCUCGGAGAAGUUACACUGUAGAAAGAUAAGGUUAGGAGGCGGAGACUCCCCAGAGCUGCUUGUAGCUGAACCACAGCUGUAAAACGCUGCCAUAAAGCCUGUGUGGAUUGCUGUGAGUAAUAUUUCUGAUUCUUCUAAUGGGUGUUUGUGACUGGAGACUGCAGGCAGGAAAUGUUGCAGACGUUUAUUGCAAGCAGUAAGCUGGAGGUAGGAGGUGAGAGACACUAGUGAAACUAUUGACCUGUUUAAUAAGGCUUUCCUCCUAGACUUCCAUAAGCAAGCAUGGGUUUCUUUGAAGCUGUG